GUUGAAACUACUUUUAGAUAAGCAAUGGGACAGUCGAGUUCAAGGGUGUCACCUUUUUUUUCAUAUGAUGCAAAGGGUUCACACGCGCCACCAACUCAACUGAAAUAUUUGAUAUUUAUAUAUACGCAACUAAUAGACAGCACCACCCUUAAAAUCAAGUCUUAUAGAUACAUAAUUAAUCCCUAGAGAUACAUAAAUAUUUGAAACUAAUGCUAAAGUUCUUAAAGUAUUUUUUUUUGUAAUAUAUACUCCCUCCAUAUCCUAUGAAAAGUGCAAUCCCGUGUUGGAAAAAAAAUCCCACAAAGAGAGCAAUCUUAGAUAUUGGAUCUCAACUACCUAUCUAAUUAAUUGAUUAGAUCGAUAUGCAUACCAAAACUAACAGCAUGUGGCAAACAAAUGAGGGUAUAAAAAUCUUUUCGGUGCAACACUAAUCUAUCUGGAAAAAAUAGAAUUAUUUUUAGACGUAUUUAUAAAUGAAUUAGAAUAGAAUUAUUUUAUGGAUCGCAUAUGUAGUAUAUGUAUGCAUACGAAUCGGUGGAUAAUUUGCACGUUAGUUAUAUACGUAGACCGGAAUACUUAUAUGUUGUAGUUGAAUUUCGUACAUAGUUUGUAUAGAUUAUUGAAUAAUGUAGUGAAAUAAAGAGUAUGACUGCAUAAGUAUUCGUUGAUGCACAGAUAUAUCGAGCAAGAUGUAGUUUCAAGUUUUUUUUGGUGACUACAGUGUUUUGUAUGGACCAAAUAGAGUAGAUUUGUCAGCAUUUAACUGCACAUCUAGCGGUAUAGAUAAACCUCUAGAGAGGAGUUUCGGAUCCAUAUACAAGUGGCUGCAGCGUGGUUUCCGGGUUGAUCCGGAGACCCAUCUGAUGACCGUGCACGGUCUUGUGAAUUGGGUGGUAGACGGUGAGCAAUGGGAAUUGAUGAUGAUACACAACACUGCAGAGUGGCAGAAGUACAUGCAAGCAGCUCUAGAGCGUGGGUGGCCUCUGGCCAUUCUUGUUCAGACUCGAGAGAAGCCACAACCGCAAACCCAACAUGGUGAAGAUAAAGCCACUACGAGUAGACAAGGAGACCCCAAUUAUGUUGAGGAAGAUGAGUCAGAACAGAUAGAGAACCAAAACAUCGAAUCACAGGGUCUUGCUCACGAGGGAGAGAGGAUACAAAGCAUCGUGGAGGAGAUGGAGGCAGAAGACCAAGCCGCAAUGGACAUGGAAGAAGAUGACUGGUCAUCUGAUGAUGAGCAGUACGCAUUGCCAAAAGAGUGGAAAGAGUAUGGUUUUGGCAAUCCUGUGGUAGUGGACGUACGUCAUCAGGAAUGGGAGUACAGAGGGAAUGAGGUAGUGCAGGGUGCUACAUAUCCCACCAUUGAUGCUGUGAAAGAUGCUGUGAAACUCUGGGCAGUAUCUCUAAAGAGAGAAUUCAGAGUCGUGAAGUCUGGCCGAAAAGAAUACGAGGUGAAGUGUGUGAAUGAUGGUUGUCCAUGGCGUGUGCACGCAUUCAAGGGCAAAUGGAAAUCCAAUUGGAAAUGUUCUAUUGUGACAGAGCAUACUUGUUUCACGUCCGAAGUUCAGCCUUCGCAUCGCAAUGUAUCAUCUAAGUUUGUUGUAAAGCAUAUUUAUGGGUUGAUUAUGGACAACCUUAAUUAUGAGCCAAAAAUGAUUGUUCGAUACAUUGAACAAACUUACCAGUACAACAUUGGUUAUAUGAAGGCAUGGCGGGCCAAACAAAAGGUGUUUGAGAUGCGGUUUGGCACGUACGAGGCAUCCUAUGAUAACCUACCUCAAAUGUUAUCCUAUGUUGUUGCUAGAAACCCUGGAAGUUUCUAUGACACUUACCUCGUGCCAACCGUGAGGAGGGGACAAAGCUUUCUGCUUCGAGCCUUCUUUUGCCUAGGUGCAUGUGUGAGAGCUUUUCAGUAUUGUCUUCUGGUUUUAUGCAUUGAUGGGACAUUUUUGACUGGAAGGUACAAAGGGCAGAUACUCACCGCAAUCGGGGUAGACUGCAACCACCAAAUAGUACCGGUCGCCUUUGCAUUUGUUGAGAAUGAGAACACAGAAAGUUGGUAUUGGUUCCUUGAACGAGUGAAGAUUCAUGUUGUUGCUGCCCGUCCAGAUGUGUGCCUUAUAAGUGAUAGGCACGCAGGUCUGCUACAAGCAAUUAUGAAAUUACAAGUCGGAAAUGGAACAACGUCUCCAUUAUGGCCAGAUGUGCAAAACAGGUGGUGCAUUAGGCAUAUAGGUGUAAACUUCUUUGACCACUUCAAGAACAAGGAACUAAAGGACUUGUUCAAGAGGUUGUGCACUCAGAAUCAGCAGAGAAAAUUUAAUGCUUUGUGGUAGAUGCUUGAUCAUCUAACUGCGGAGCAAGUGAAGGCAAGGGCAGCAGGAACCAGCAAUAGCCAGUCUGCAGAUGCAACGGCUUCUUUGGAGAAGCCAUUUUCGCACUGGAUUCGAGGUGCACCGAAGGAGAAAUGGUCAUUCCUUUAUGAUACAAACAGAAUGCGGUACGAUAUCCAGACAACAAACCACGCAGAGUGUUUCAAUAUGGUUAUGCGAUGUUGUCGUGGCUUUCCUCUCAUGGGAAUUGUUGAGUUCAUCAUGUAUGGAUGCAUGAAGUAUUUUAGAGAGCGAUACAUGGCUGCAACCAUAAACAAGAGCAACCCCCAAAUUCAGUUUUGCACAAGAGUGACACAAUAUAUGCAAGACAAGAUAGCAAAGGCCAGACAGCACCGCGUCCUAUCGACGGGUACAAGGGAGCAUAGAUUUGAGGUGCUAUGCAAGGAUAGAACUGGUCGUGGCAUCCGUAGAGAUAGGGUGGUGCAAGAAAGUUUAAUUAGAGCAGAUGGCACUGCCCGCUGCACCUGCAUGAAGCCAAAGUUAUUGCAUUUGCCCUGUUCGCACGUCAUUGCCGUUUGUGCAGAAUCUGGGUUGCAGCCAGGAGUAUUUGUGUCACCCUAUUUCAGCAAGGAGGCAGCUACAUCCACUUGGGGACAUGAAAUAUACGGGAUUGGCAUAGUUGGACCCUUUAUUACGGACCGGGAGGUUAAGACUUAUGUUCCUAAUCCAGCCGCUAAGAAAGGCAAAGGCCGUCGUCAGACGCAUCGUAUAAGAAAUGGUAUGGACGAGUCCGAGUCAAGCAAGGCACAAAAGCGUUGCAGCCAAUGUGGAGCAUUGGGUCACAACUACAAAAGGUGUCCUCAGAAUGCAAUUCAUGGUGAUGCAGACGCUGGUCCUUCUGGAAAUCCAACAGAUGGAGCACCUCCUACGUUCAGACCAUCAUUGCCGAGAAUUACUCGUGGAAGGCACUCGGUGUCGUGAUUCAAGGCAUUGUAAGUUCAUUCUGUCGACUCGGUGCUGUUGCUUGGUGGCACAAUCCAAAACAUAUAAGGCGUUAUAUUGUUGAAUGUGUUUCUAUACGUAUGUUUACCUUUGUACUAAUCGUGCAACCCUAUUUGAAUGUUUUAAUGCAGGUAUGGGCUUGUUGCUAGACCCUGUUAUCGACACGAGCCACCGGUCUUUCGCCGCAGCAGUUCAGCGCCGAGCCCUUGAAGUGCUAUGACCGCGUCCACCAGGAGAGGUCAUCUCUAUACACCAAGAUUGGGUUGCAAGGUUACGUGAGUGCGGUCUACUGACUCUGGGCCAUCUUAUGGAGGGUGGGAUUGUGAAGCUCGACCGAUCCCUCCUGACGGCGCUAGUGGAUAGAUGGAGGCCGGAGACUCACACGUUCCACCUCCCAUGUGGGGAGAUGACUCCGAUGCUGCAGGACGUGGCCUACCUACUGGGUCUCCCUAUCAUCGGUGAUGCCGUAGGUCCGCGCGUGGUGCCGGCUUCGUGGAAGGAUGGCCUGGAGGAGCGCUUUGCUCCGGUACAGCGCGUGGCAGCAGCAGGACCGAUCAACCCGCACCUGCGAGCCGCAGGUCCUUCGAAGACCUGGUUGCUACAAUUUACACCUACCCAAUUGGAUGCGGAUGCGGACGAGUAUAGUGUGACCAGAUCGCUGGAGGCGUACCUGCUAUGGUUAUUUGGUUACAUUAUAUUCAACAACACCCAUGGCAACUCCAUCGACAGGAUCCUACUUCCGUACGCACGAGAGAUUAUGGAUGCAGAGGAUGACUUACCGCCCUAUAGCUGGGGUUCGGCGGUAUCGGCGGCCACCUACCGUGGACUCUGCGACGGGUGCAGUAAGACCGAUGGUGAGGCUAUUCUCUCGGGGUGCCCACUCCUGCUUCAGAUUUGGUCGUACGAGAGGAUAGUGGUUGGUCGCCCUAUCGUGAGCCAGGAGCCAUACCACGACAUCGUGUACGGCGAUGAUGAGGAGGGUUGGCCCACGAUGGGUACCCUCUAGAACUGGCGUCAGAGAUCUUGGGCGCAUGCCCAGGUUAGACGCGCAUAUCCUGAGUUCGUGUCGGAGCUGGAUAUGCUGACGCCAGAGGACGUUAUCUGGGAGCCAUACACCCCAGAGGCGGUGGCGACACGUGCACCUUUAGGCUUGUCUCCACACUGCUCUGCGAAUGCGGGCAUGUGGCUUACUACAGCCGUCGUUGUUUACGACAUCGCGGUUGAGGCGUAUUGCCCGCACAGAGUCAUGAGACAGUUUGGACAGCGACAGGAGUUUCCAGUGGCCACGGCUUUGGACCGAGUCGAUUGGCACAACCAUAGGUUGUCGAGGAGUAGCAUGCCGUGCUCAGCCGUUUGGCUCACCAUGAUGUAGCCGUGGUUGGAGCAAUGUGACGAUGCAGAUGAGAACGUGGUCGAGCCGACGGGACCACACACAGACAGCUCUUUCAGGGCUUACCUCACCUGGUACUUGCCUCGGACCCGGGCUCGUUUGGUCUUUCCUGACACGAACCCGCAGCCACACCAGGCGAGUCUUCGGGAUGGCUACGCCUAGCACCACGUGGAGGCACUAGCUGGAGCGUUUCGACUUUGUAACAUGAUGGAGGCGAACUGCUCUGCUUACCUGACGAGGGUGGAUCACGGUUCCCCUAUGACCUAGGUUGAGCAGAGAGAUGCAUGAUCCAGACACCGUGACCACUUGCGUAUAGUACUUCAUGAUUUCGGUAGCCGUGUGGACUAUGAAGAGAGGCAAGGAUCGUCCCAGGCCUCGACGUCCUUCCCGUGUCCGGCGAUGACGCACGAGCCAACCUCCCAGCCAGAUCAGGGACACCAGUGGAACACUACUGCAGGAUUCGGUCCCUCUUCUUCCUUCGGCCAUACUGGCCAUUGGGGCCAACAAGGAUCCCACUUCGUCCCACAGCAGGGGAUGGGAAUGUUUGGAGGGACACCGCCAGUUGGGGGACCGUACCCAGGGAUGGGACCGCCGCCAUCAACACUAGCCUACCCAGGAUUCUAUCCAGAUGCGGGCGUCGGACCUUCUUCCUCAUCACAACCUGGGUUCGUCUCAAACACGUUCGUUCUAGAUAGCGGUGGCUUCAACUUAGAAGACCUCGACAACUUCACUUCCCACUCACCCACGGAGCAAGGUGACCCCGAUGUCUUGGGCUCUUCACAGCUAGGAGGAGCACCACUUGGUUACUCUCAGCAGCAGACACCGCAUCCUUCUUUGCGUCCUCAGCGACAACUGAGGUCUCUAGAUCGUCACACCUACUCGCAGGGCCAUGUCCAUGCCCAGCAGAGGGCGAAGAGGGUCCGACACCGUCGGGGUGGCUAGAUAUGACUUAUGUUUGUAUCUCGUAUGUUUCUUUGUAAUGACAUAGUGGCCAAACAUUUAUGUCUUAUGGUAGCAACGAUGUUGUCU